GACGUAGGAUGCAAGCGUUGUCCGGAUUUAUUGGGCGUAAAGAGUUCGUAGGUGGUUCGUUAAGUCUGAUGUUAAAGACCGAGGCUCAACUUCGGGACUGCAUUGGAUACUGGCGGACUUGAGUGUGGUAGAGGCAAUCGGAAUUCCAGGUGUAGCGGUGAAAAUGCGUAGAAUAUCUGGAAAGAACACCGGUGGCGCAAGCGGAUUGCUGGGGCCAUAA
rnacentral:rRNA from 1 species